rnacentral:rRNA from 1 species
AGUGGCGAACGGGUGAGUACAUGUCAUCGGAACGUGCCCAGUAUUGGGGGAUAGCCCGGCGAAAGCCGGAUUAAUACCGCAUACGACCUAAGGGUGAAAGGGGGGGAUCGCAAGACCUCUCGCUAUUGGAGCGGCCGAUGUCAGAUUAGCUAGUUGGUGGGGUAAAGGCCUACCAAGGCGACGAUCUGUAGCUGGUCUGAGAGGACGACCAGCCACACUGGGACUGAGACACGGCCCAGACUCCUACGGGAGGCAUCAGCGGGGAAUUUUGGACAAUGGACGAAAGUCUGAUCCAGCCAUGCCGCGUGCGGGAAGAAGGCCUUCGGGUUGUAAACCGCUUUUGUCACGGAAAAAAUCUUCUGGGUUAAUAACUCGGGAGGAUGACGGUACCUGAAGAAUAAGCACCGGCUAACUACGUGCCGGCAGCCGCGGUAAUACUUA